UUAUUCAUCUUCAAAGCUUGAAAAGUCUCUCACAGCCACCCGCGCAGACACGGAGAAAGUUCUCGAAUUCUGACUACGGAUAUUCAAAUCUAUUUUCUUAAUCAAACAUUGACAAACACGCGAAAGCUUGUUUGCUUAUUUAUUUUUUUCUUUUUCAAUUUGACAGGGGAAAAAGAAGAAGAUUUUAAGCUCUGUCCCAAUUGUGAAAUUUGUACUGCUCAAUUGUUGUUCCAACGGCUUCGUCGGAGGCUCAAAUGGAGAAGAUGAAAAUCCGUCAAAAUUAUCGAAAUCACUGGCACACUGAUCUCCUCCGUGCUCCUCAGUCGGAUCCUCUUUUUUGCUGUUUCUCGCUUUGGUGCGGUCCUUGUGCAUCAUACAUCCUCCGAAAACGAGCUCUAUACAAUGAUAUGUCAAGGUAUACAUGUUGUGGAGGCUAUAUGCCUUGUAGUGGCAGAUGUGGAGAAAGUCAUUGCCCUGAGUUAUGUCUUUGCACAGAGGUGUUUCUUUGCUUCGCAAAUUCAGUUGCCUCAACGCGCUUUAUGUUGCAAGAUGAGUUCAAUCUGCAGACGACAAAAUGCGAUAAUUGCAUAAUCGGGUUCAUGUUUUGCCUCCAGCAGGUAGCAUGUAUACUUAGCUGCAUUGCUUGUAUUACAGGAAACGAUGAACUUCAAGAGGCUUCUCGGGUUCUCAACUGUUGCUCGGACAUGGUUUACUGCACGGUUUGUAGCUGUAUGCAGACACAGCACAUGGUAGAAAUGAAUAAAAGAGAUGGUAAAUUUGGGCCAAGGCCAAUGGUAGCACCAGCUGUUCAACAAAUGUCUCGUUUGGAUCAGCCUCUUCCUCCAACCAUCGGAUAUGCACCGCCGCAGCCACAAGCUUAUCCCCCAAAGCAGCUACCCACUAUGUACCCCCCACCACCCCAGCAAUCCCCUAUGUACCCACCACCACCCCAGCAAUCCCCUAUGUACCCACCACCACCCCAGCAACCCUAUGGAUACCCACCACCACCAUCACAACCCCAUGGAUAUCCACCAGCCAAUUAUGCUCCUGGUGUCGGAUACCCUCCAUCUGGUUAUCCGCGGUGAAGGUAGUCCGGUGCACUAAGCUUUUACCGUGCGCGAGGUUCAGAGAAGAGUUAGAUCACAUUGAUCUGAUGUAAGCAGCCUUGCUUUGUAUUGCUACAAGAGAAGCCAAGAAGUCAUUUACAGGAACUCCAUAAGGUUGGUUAUUCUAGAUUCCUACACAGUUUCACAUCAUGGAGACAACAUUCAAGUUAUAGGAGGAUCAGUUGCUAUAUCUACUCACGCAUGGAGGAAUUUUGGAGAAUUGUUGUGGUAUGGUGUAUUGGUUGGAGAUUCACAUUUGCCUUGUCAUUUGGAAUGCAAAAUCUGGCGCCUGAUGAAAGCAUUAGAGGUGCUACUAUGAGGUCUUUGCACUUGGCUUGUGGAGUCACUUACAUCAUCUUCUUAUGGCAAUCUUUCUUCACAUUCAUUGUAACAGCUAGUUUGUUAUUUAGAGCUGCUUGUGUAAUAGCUAGUUGUAGACGUCUUGUUUUAUUUUUAUUUGGAUAAAUUGUAAACCUUGGACUCAUUUUGAGAUUAUUUUAUCUGUAUAUUAGCUACUAGGCAGAUAUCUAUACU